rnacentral:misc_RNA from 1 species
UGGAAGGGAAGAGAAUAGAGAGGAAGGUUUAAUUGAAGCGUCACCAAAUUUCGAUGCGGAGGGCGACUCUCCUUCUUCUAGGUCUUCGUUCUUAUGGCCGUCGAAGAAACCAGUGAGCAGAGAAGGCUUGGAGGAUUGUUUGGGCUGGGGUAGGGGUUGGAAGAGGGAUGAAGAUUUGGGCGGGGGAAGAGACGAGGAGAAAGAUGAGCUUCUGAAGGUGGAG